CACGUAGGCGGAUCGGAAAGUUGGGGGUGAAAUCCCGGGGCUCAACCCCGGAACUGCCUUCAAAACUAUCGGUCUGGAGUUCGAGAGAGGUGAGUGGAAUUCCGAGUGUAGAGGUGAAAUUCGUAGAUAUUCGGAGGAACACCAGUGGCGAAGGCGGCUCACUGGCUCGAUACUGACGCUGAGGUGCGAAAGCGUGGGGAGCGAACG
rnacentral:rRNA from 1 species